GACGAACGCUGGCGGCGUGCCUAAUACAUGCAAGUCGAACGAGAGCGACCGGUGCUUGCACUGGUCAAUCUAGUGGCGAACGGGUGAGUAACACGUGGGUAACCUGCCCAUCAGAGGGGGAUAACAUCCGGAAACGGAUGCUAAAACCGCAUAGGUCUUCGAGCCGCAUGGCUUGAAGAGGAAAAGAGGCGCAAGCUUCUGCUGAUGGAUGGACCCGCGGCGCAUUAGCUAGUUGGUGAGGUAACGGCUCACCAAGGCCGUGAUGCAUAGCCGACCUGAGAGGGUGAUCGGCCACAUUGGGACUGAGACACGGCCCAAACUCCUACGGGAGGCAGCAGUAGGGAAUCUUCCGCAAUGGACGCAAGUCUGACGGAGCAACGCCGCGUGAGUGAAGAAGGUUUUCGGAUCGUAAAACUCUGUUGUUAGAGAAGAACAAGUGCUAGAGUAACUGUUAGCGCCUUGACGGUAUCUAACCAGAAAGCCACGGCUAACUACGU
rnacentral:rRNA from 1 species